rnacentral:rRNA from 1 species
GAUGAACGCUGGCGGCGUGCCUAAUACAUGCAAGUCGAGCGAACAGACGAGGAGCUUGCUCCUCUGACGUUAGCGGCGGACGGGUGAGUAACACGUGGAUACCCUACCUAUAAGACUGGGAUAACUUCGGGAAACCGGAGCUAAUAACGGAUAAUAUAUUGAACCGCAUGGUUCAAUAGUGAAAGACGGUUUUGCUGUCACUUAUAGAUGGAUCCGCGCCGCAUUAGCUAGUUGGUAAGGUAACGGUUUACCAAGGCAACGAUGCGUAGCCGACCUGAGAGGGGGAUCGGCCACACUGGAACUGAGACACGGUCCAGACUCCUACGGGAGGCAGCAGUAGGGAAUCUUCCGCAAUGGGCGAAAGCCUGACGGAGCAACGCCGCGUGAGUGAUGAAGGUCUUCGGAUCGUAAAACUCUGUUAUUAGGGAAGAACAAAUGUGUAAGUAACUAUGCACGUCUUGACGGUACCUAAUCAGAAAGCCACGGCUAACUACGUG